rnacentral:tRNA from 1 species
GUGGGUUGGCUCAGUGGUUAGAACGUAGGUCUCGUUACCGGAAGGUUGCGGGAUCGAAUCCCACUAGAGGCUGCA